rnacentral:rRNA from 1 species
UAAUACAGAGGGUGCGAGCGUUGUCCGGAAUCACUGGGCGUAAAGGGCGCGUAGGUGGUUCGGUAAGUGUGUGGUGAAAGCCCGGGGCUCAACCCCGGGUCUGCCAUGCAAACUGCUGAACUUGAGCAUACUAGAGGCAGGUAGAAUUCCGGGUGUAGCGGUGGAAUGCGUAGAGAUCCGGAAGAACACCGGUGGCGAAGGCGGCCUGCUGGGGUAGUGCUGACACUGAGGCGCGACAGCGUGGGGAGCAAACAGGAUUAGAUACCCUGGUAGUCCACGCCGUAAACGAUGGGUACUAGGUGCUUGGGGGAGCGACCCCUUGAGUGCCGGCGCUAACGCAUGAAGUACCCCGCCUGGGGAGUACGACCGCAAGGUUG